UAGGGAAUCUUGCGCAAUGGGCGAAAGCCUGACGCAGCGACGCCGCGUGAGGGAAGAAGGCCUUCGGGUUGUAAACCUCUUUCAGGAGGGACGAAGCCACUCGGGUUAAUAGCCCAGAGGGUGACGGUACCUCCAGAAGAAGCCCCGGCUAACUACGUGCCAGCAGCCGCGGUAAUACGUAGGGGGCAAGCGUUGUCCGGAUUUAUUGGGCGUAAAGAGCGUGUAGGCGGCCAUACAGGGUCAGCUGUGAAAACUCGAGGCUCAACCUCGAGACGUCGGUUGAAACCGUAUGGCUAGAGUCCGGAAGAGGAGAGUGGAAUUCCCGGUGUAGCGGUGAAAUGCGCAGAUAUCGGGAAGAACACCCGUGGCGAAGGCGGCUCUCUGGGACGGUACUGACGCUGAGACGCGAAAGCGUGGGGAGCGAACAGGAUUAGAUACCCUGGUAGUCCACGCCGUAAACGAUGGGUACUAGGUGUGGCGGGUGUCGACUCCCGCUGUGCCGAAGCUAACGCAUUAAGUACCCCGCCUGGGGAGUACGGCC
rnacentral:rRNA from 1 species